rnacentral:tRNA from 1 species
AUCUUUUGAGUAUUUAUGUACACUUGCCUUCCAAGCAAAAGGAUUAAUUAACUUUAAAUAAGAUA